rnacentral:rRNA from 1 species
AGAGUUUGAUCCUGGCUCAGAAUCAACGCUGGCGGCGUGCCUAACACAUGCAAGUCGAACGCGAAAGGGCUUUCGGCCCUGAGUAGAGUGGCGAACGGGUGAGUAACGCGUGGGUGACCUACCCUCGAGUGGGGGAUAACGUUCCGAAAGGGACGCUAAUACCGCAUGACAUUCCGGGUUCGAAGACCUGGAAAUCAAAGCCGGGGACCGCAAGGCCUGGCGCUCGAGGAGGGGCCCGCGUCUGAUUAGCUAGUUGGCGGGGUAAUGGCCCACCAAGGCGACGAUCAGUAGCCGGCCUGAGAGGGCGGACGGCCACACUGGGACUGAGACACGGCCCAGACUCCUACGGGAGGCAGCAGUGGGGAAUUGUUCGCAAUGGGCGCAAGCCUGACGACGCAACGCCGCGUGGAGGAUGAAGGUCUUCGGAUUGUAAACUCCUGUUGAUCGGGACGAAAAGCUUCGACCUAACACGUCGAAGACUGACGUACCGGUGAGGAGCC